CAACCUAACUCCCUUACUUUCAUUUUCCAACAAACUCCAUAUUCAUAUAAAUCACCUAUCUUCUCCAAAGCACUCUCAAAAUUCCAAAUAUUUUUCUAUCUCAAUGGCUCUAUUUUUAAUUUUAAUUUCCAUUACCAUAAUUUUCCUAGCUUACAAACUCUACCACAAAUUACAAUACAAAUUACCUCGUGGUAUUACCAGUAGUAGGGAACCUCUAUGAUAUUCAACCGGUGCGAUUCCGGUGUUUCGCUGAUUGGGCUAACAAAUAUGGUCCAAUAUUCUCCGUGUACUUUGGUUCACAAUUAAAUGUUGUAGUAACAACAGCUGAAUUAGCUAAACAAGUGUUGAAAUAAAAUGAUCAUAAUUUAGCAGAUAGAUUUAGGACAAGGCCUGCUAAUAAUUUGAGUAGAAAUGGAAUGGAUUUGAUUUGGGCUGAUUAUGGACCUCAUUAUGUGAAAGUGAGAAAGCUUUGUAAUUUGGAGCUAUUUACUCCAAAGAGACUUGAAGCUCUUAGCCCUAUUAGAGAAGAUGAAGUUACUGCUAUGGUUGAAAAUAUUUACAAGGAUUGUACUAACCCUGGUCAUGGUUUCGAGCUGUGGAAUCUGAUGUUCGCGGAACGUGACCUAUAUAGGUCAUGAGUUCGAGCUAUGAAAUCCGUUGUUGAUGCUUGCUGUAGUGUAGGCUAUCAACAUUAGAGAGCGUGUGACCCUUUCCCCGGACCCUACAAAAAUGCCGGAUGCUUCGUGUACAGAUAACUUCAUAGUAUAAUCAUCAUGUGUACUUGAUUAACUUUUGAAAAUGAACAGAAGUAAAACUCUUGAAGUACACAAAUCAUAGAAGUUAAUGAUCAACAUAGUGUAAGUCAACUUGGAAUGUGCAUUGUGUAUAUCAACUUAAAGCUUUUUUGUGUCUAGUUUUCAUGGUUCAAGCCGUUCGUCAUCUGGAUUUUUGUACAAAAAGUUAUGUCUAAUUUACCGAACAAUGUCCAAUCUGCCGAUAACGCGGGUAAAAGCCUGUUGAUGAGAGAGUACUUAGGAUCAGUAGAAGGUUAACAUUUGGUAAAAGGUUCAUGAACUCAGCAGGUGAGAUUGAUGAACAAGGCCAAGAAUUCAAGGGCAUUGUAUCUAAUGGCAUCAAAAUCGGAGGAAAACUUCCCUUGGCAGAGUACGUUCCAUGGCUCCGUUGGUUCUUCUCAAUGGAAAAUGAGGCUCUUGUAAAACACUCAGAACGUAGAGACCGGUUAACAAGAAUUAUCAUGGAAGAACACACUUUGGCUCGCAAGAAAACUGGUGAUACUAAGCAAACAUUUCGUCGAUGCCUUGCUUACUCUUCAGAAGCAGUAUGAUCUUAGUGAUGACACUGUUAUUGGCCUCCUCUGGGAUAUGAUUACAGCAGGAAUGGACACAACGACGAUAACAGUAGAAUGGGCAAUGGCAGAGCUAGUUAGGAACCCAAGGGUGCAACAAAAGGCUCAAGAGGAGCUUGACAGAGUGAUUGGAUCGGACCGGAUAAUGUCAGAAACUGAUUUCUCGAAACUUCCUUACCUUCAAUGUGUAGCCAAAGAGGCUGUUAGAGUAUGGGCCCUACUGAUUUCUCGAUUCUACUGUUUGCCUAUCUGUGGAACAGGUAAGUAAAUGCAGUUCGCAGAAGAGAAAGCUGAACACAGUGUUUUUACGUGGAAAACACCCGGCUCAAGAAAGGUGUAAAAAACUACGACCUGUACCUCUACAGGAUUUAACCCCAAUUCACUAAAACUCUUGAGCCUCAACAAUCAAACAAUUAGAAGGCUUCUUGUAACUUAGGAAUUACAACUUCUAAUUCCUAUCACUACAAAAACACAAAUCUCACCCAAAUCUCCUUUCCUUACUUGAAUUGGAUUGCCUUUUUUGUCUUUUAA